rnacentral:misc_RNA from 1 species
AGUCGUAACAAGGUAUCCGUAGGUGAACCUGCGGAUGGAUCAUUACCAAAGAUUUCAAAAUCUACGUGCUGUGAACUGUUUUGAACAACCGUCAGUCAGUUUGUUUGGUGACCGCUAGAAAACGCGCUAGCCCGACGGCUGACUGUACACCAUUACUUAACGUAAUAUAGCCAUUUCCCAACCUGAAGUCUUUCUUAAAGAAACUAAGAUAACUUUUAGCAACGGAUCUCUUGGCUCUC